rnacentral:misc_RNA from 1 species
CUGGAAAACUGCUGUUCAAGUUGAACGCCCACACUUAUCGGUUGUUGGAACAAGCCGCAGGCUCUGGUUGCAGAGUGUGUGGACUGGGUCUGUAGCUCAGCUGGUUAGAGCACCGUCUUGAUAAGGCGGGGGUCGUUGGUUCGAGCCCAACUAGACCCACCAAGAUUCCAAUGUCUGGUUGUCGAGGAUCCCGGGGGAUUAGCUCAGCUGGGAGAGCACCUGCUUUGCAAGCAGGGGGUCGUCGGUUCGAUCCCGUCAUCCUUCACCAAGAUCGCCUGGUGGCAACAAGCGAAGAGCUUGCAGGAUGAGAAAAGCACGAAAAAAGCGUGCUACAAUAUUUGACUCAACACUAAAGCAGUCUCGUGUGAGACUGCUUUAGUGUUGAUAGUUAUCCAACUAUCAAUCGGCUGUUCUUUAAAAAUUCAUAGAGUCGAAAUCAGCGUUGCUGACGGAAAGAGAUUUCAAUCUCACCGUGCCGUCAGCAACAUUUUGAUUGCGUCAAAACGAAUGAAACUUUGUUUUAUUCAAGUAAUGACGAAUCUUUCUCUGACAGCAAUGUCAAAGAAUCAUUCACAUUACGGCAUAACGCGCGAGGUGAGAGACCUCGCAAGUCCUUGAGAGAAAACGGCGA